AUUGAACGCUGGCGGCAGGCCUAACACAUGCAAGUCGAACGAGUGGCGGACGGGUGAGUAAUGUCUGGGAAACUGCCUGCUGGUGGGGAUAACUACUGGAAACGGUAGCUAAUACCGCAUACCAUCAGAUGUGCCACGGCGGGAUUAGAUAGUUGGUGGGGUAACGGCUCACCAAGGCGACGAUCCCUAGCUGGGCUGAGAGGAUGACCAGCCACACUGGGAAUGAGACACGGCCCAGACUCCUACGGUAGGCAGCAGUGGGGAAUAUGGCACAAUGGGCGCAAGCCUGAUGCAGCAAUGCCGCGUGUGUGAAGAAGGCCUUCGGGUUGUAAAGUACUUUCAGCGGGGAGGCGUUACCCGCAGAAGAAGCACCGGCUAACUCCGUGCCAGCAGCCGCGGUAAUAC
rnacentral:rRNA from 1 species